rnacentral:rRNA from 1 species
CCUACGGGUGGCUGCAGUGGGGAAUAUUGCACAAUGGGGGGAACCCUGAUGCAGCGACGCCGCGUGAAGGAUGAAGUAUUUCGGUAUGUAAACUUCUAUCAGCAGGGAAGAAAAUGACGGUACCUGACUAAGAAGCCCCGGCUAACUACGUGCCAGCAGCCGCGGUAAUACGUAGGGGGCAAGCGUUAUCCGGAUUUACUGGGUGUAAAGGGAGCGUAGACGGGCCAGCAAGUCUGAUGUGAAAACCCGGGGCCCAACCCCGGGAGUGCAUUGGAAACUGCGGGCCUGGAGUUCCGGAGAGGUAAGCGGAAUUCCUAGUGUAGCGGUGAAAUGCGUAGAUAUUAGGAGGAACACCAGUGGCGAAGGCGGCUUACUGGACGGUAACUGACGUUGAGGCUCGAAAGCGUGGGGAGCAAACAGGAUUAGAUACCCCUGUAGUC